GCUGGAAUAGCGCAGUCGGUAGCGCAACUGAUUCGUAAUCAGUAGGUCGAGGGUUCAAGUCCCUUUUCCAGCUCUA
rnacentral:tRNA from 1 species